UUUCCAAUAUGUGUAGUUUAUGCCAUUAAAUAGUGGAGGUCGAUCAAUUAAUUGUCCCUCUCCUAGAAAACUAUCUAUUUGAGUUGUCAUGAUCUUUGGCUCUUUGACGGUUAGGUCAAAAUCAAAAAGGCAAGGAAUUAUAGAGCACCUGCUCUGAUACCACUUGUUGCCCAAGGUGACAAUCCAAGAGGGGGGGUGAAUUGGGUUUUUCUAAAUUUUUGGUGCUUUAAAUGUUUUCUUAGUUAAGUGCGGUGAAUGCUUUCUUAAAUUACUUGAAUGAAUUAAACUAGAGUAAAGAUGAAAGAUAAUGCAAGAAUAAGCAUAAGAACAAGCACAACACAAACACAACGAUAUAUAGUGGUUCGGUGCAC
rnacentral:lncRNA from 1 species